rnacentral:rRNA from 1 species
UACGUAGGGGGCAAGCGCUGUCCGGAUUUAUUGGGCGUAAAGAGCGUGUAGGCGGCCAUGCAGGUCAGCUGUGAAAACUCGAGGCUCAACCUCGAGACGUCGGUUGAAACCGCUUGGCUAGAGUCCGGAAGAGGAGAGUGGAAUUCCCGGUGUAGCGGUGAAAUGCGCAGAUAUCGGGAAGAACACCCGUGGCGAAGGCGGCUCUCUGGGACGGUACUGACGCUGAGACGCGAAAGCGUGGGGAGCGAACAGG